rnacentral:rRNA from 1 species
GGAAUUGCCAAUGCGCGAAAGCCGGGAUUCCAUUACGCCCUCGACCAUAAAGAAGGCUUCGUUUCCGCUAAAGCUCUGGAAAACAAGGAAGAUAAUGACGGUACUUGAGGAGGAAGCCCCGGCUAACUACGUGCCAGCAGCCGCGGUAAUAAA